GUGUUAUCGGAACUGGACAUAUAUUUCAAUUAAUUGAUGAAAUUAUAAGAACAAAUUUAUAUGAAAUUAUAAUUAUGUUGUUUCUAAAAAUCGCUUCUCGAAGCGAACUUAAAGUCAUCCUUAACAGCAAUGUGUACCAGCCAAAAUAAAAAAAUGUCGAUUUUGUCGAUGGAAUUUUAAUGACUUUUCGGAAAAAAAAACAUAGAUAAGUUGAAAAAUAUUAAACCACUAACUAUUCAACUAAUUCAAAAGGAAGAGGAAUUUACCAUCGAUUUCUUGAGCGACCUUUACAAAAGCGAUGUAUCGAUGAAAAAUCGAUUGGACCAGCUCGUCGAUAAAGUUGUUGUUUGCUCCAGGUUUACUUUUAAUUUCAAAUUCAACUAAUAUCCGGGAUUAAGAGUGUAAAUCCUGUCAG
ensembl:ncRNA lncRNA:CR45475 long non-coding RNA:CR45475